rnacentral:rRNA from 1 species
UACGGAGGGUCCGAGCGUUAUCCGGAAUUAUUGGGUUUAAAGGGUCCGUAGGCGGGCUAUUAAGUCAGGGGUGAAAGUUUGCAGCUCAACUGUAAAAUUGCCUUUGAUACUGGUAGUCUUGAGUUGUAUUGAAGUGGCUGGAAUAUGUAGUGUAGCGGUGAAAUGCAUAGAUAUUACAUAGAACACCGAUUGCGAAGGCAGGUCACUAAGUACACACUGACGCUGAUGGACGAAAGCGUGGGGAGCGAACAGG